CCGGGACAGACAGACUCCAUCUAUAGCCUUGGAUAUUACAAAUAUCUUCAUAAAAACUGAAUAAAAUAAAAAAUAGAAAAAUAUAGUUAACUUUAUCUUAUUGUAUCAUAAAGCACUUCAUAUGGAUAAAGAAUGGGCAUUUCUCUGGGCUCCUAACCUCUCUGUAUUGAGUUUGUCCAACUGCUGUCUACUGCAAGAAGGUCCAGGUUGUUGAGGGAAAGCUGUAUUUUUUCACAGUUGCCUUGUAGAUGCCCAAUCACUGUACAUCAGAGAGCAGGCUCACAGUGGCAUUUGAAGAUGGAAUGAAUAGGUAAAUGAAUUAGGACAGUGACAUAAAAGAGAAAAUUGGGUUUAAUGGACUCCUCUUUGAUGAGGAUCCAAUCUGGUUUAUGUAACUCCCAUAUGAGAACCAUGGCCCAAGAAGUGGAUUUUAUGGGCAGAUUGGCUUUUAUAAGGAACAACUUCCUUUGCAUUAGGAUUACUGCCUGAGAAAGAGGUGAGCUCAGUCAUGUUCACUGUAGUUCCUGUUCAAGUGGAAGCCAGGUAUUUAUCUGCAGAAACAAAGGAAAGAAUUGCUGCUGAAGAGCUGGAUGGCCUCUUUGGAUCUCUUCCAACUCUGAGGUCCUCCAACAAUGGUCAUGAACAUGACUUUUUAUAUGGGUAGACAGGGAAGUCUUUGGAAAGAAAUGAAUCCUCGUGGUUGCAUUUGAUUUGCAGGGAAACCAGACGAAGCCCAGAGGAGAGCACCCACUGCCUUCAGCCUCACAACCCUUUCACUUUCAGGGAUAAGAACCCACCCUUCCAUCUCCCAGCCACAUCUGCAGAUGCCUUAGAGCCCAACACUUCCUUCAGGGUGUCUGCAAAUAGAAUAGAGAGGUCUUUGAUAUGACGGUGGGACUCAAGGACAGGGGCUUCUUUAUUUUGUAGGCAGGGUGCUUAGUCAAGUGGAAAGGAAGAAUGAUCAGGAAAGUCAGUGUAAAGUAAGAACUUAGAAGGAGAAACUAGAGGAAGUGAAGUAAGAGGCUGAAUAAGGAGAAGAUCUCCAGGAGGUUGUCUUCCUGAACCCUGGAAAACGAAGUUAAUUGUGCAAUGCAAAGGGGCAAGCAAUGUUGAUGAUGAGACAACUGAAUGGACAGAAGAAAAAGGCAAAGGAAGUGGAAAGAAGAGCCAAAGUCAGGUGCAAAAGAGAAAUUGCGGGUAGACCAGGUUUGCUUUUCCACCUACAGUGAACCCUUGGAUUAUGACCAGCCUGACAUACAACAUGGGUUAUGACUGGAAUUUUAGUUUUAACUUAUGACCAAAGUCUUGAGUUACGACCCAAAUGUUGGCUGCUUGUGCUUCCAGUUGGUCUCAGAUACAGAUUUUACCCUUAAAGAGUUCUGAAAGGAACAUUACAACAUCCUUCCCUGUAUGGGGUUAAUUGAGAAAUCCUGGGCCAAUUUCUCUUUAAGGACACUGAGAUUUUCCUGUAUACAGGAGAGAGACUUUGAAGGCUGUGUAGAGGAGCCUGAGCUUUUAAUUGACCAACCUGAGUGACAACCAGCUCUCUUGAAUGAAUCGAGUUUGGAAGUCAAAGGUCCACUGUAUUUGUAUCCGAUAUGAGCACUGGGAUGAUAGGUUUAUUAUAUGGGAAUAGAUUUCAGAAACAAAGGAAGAUUCUACCUCAAGUACAGCUUUGUGGGAAAAGGACUCAAAUCAACUUUUGCAUCAUUUCUACAGCCAGAACCAGCUGCAUUUGGAACUAACUGCCUCUCAUUUGUUUACAAGAUGUUGAGAUUAUCCUGGAUUAUUUGAGUGGGCCCUAAGUGCAACCUAUGUAUCCUCAUAAGAAGGAGAUCUGACACAGAAGAAGAGGAGAAGGCAACAGGACCAAAGAGGCAGAGGCAGAGAUUUGAAGGAUGUGACCAUAAGGCUAAGAGUGUUGGCUGCUACCAAAGCUGCGCGAGGGCAAAUCACAACACGUUUCAUGUGCGGUCAUAUCUGAAGUAGAGGAGCAUGUGAAGGAAUUCCUGAGAAAACCUCCAGGCAGGAGUUGAGAAGGAGAAUGCUUGAGAAGGAAGCGGUCAUCCCAGGGUGCGUUGAAGUCUGACGGAAGCAACAAUGACAGAAUCUAUACUAGUUCAGGAAAGCAAGGCACUUGCCUCUGAGGACAAAAAGGAAGGGGCAUCAAAAAGCCUCAUUAACCAAGGUGCAAUAUGGCUUAGCACUGCCCAGCACUAUAUUUUGUGCUUGGCACUGUGCAGUGGAAGCAAGACAAACAUGUCUCCCAUUAGUGGAGCUUCCGGUCUAGCAGACAAGAGAAACUGAG
ensembl:lncRNA